rnacentral:rRNA from 1 species
AAUGGGGGAAACCCUGACGCAGCGACGCCGCGUGAGCGAAGAAGGCCUUAGGGUUGUAAAGCUCUGUUCUAUGGGACGAACGGCUAGACGAGAAAUAUGCGUUUAGAAUGACGGUACCAUAGGAGGAAGCCCCGGCUAACUACGUGCCAGCAGCCGCGGUAAGACGUAGGGGGCGAGCGUUGUCCGGAAUUACUGGGCGUAAAGCGCGUGUAGGCGGCCUUUUAAGUCUGAUGUGAAAGCCCCGGGCUCAACCUGGGAAGUGCAUUGGAAACUGGGAGACUGGAGUACGGGAGAGGAGAGUGGAAUUCCUAGUGUAGGAGUGAAAUCCGUAGAUAUUAGGAGGAACACCGGUGGCGAAGGCGGCUCUCUGGACCGAUACUGACGCUGAGACGCGAAAGCGUGGGUAGCAAA